GACGAACCGUGCGAACGUUGUUCGGAAUCACUGGGCUUAAAGGGCGCGUAGGCGGGCCGGACGGUCCGGGGGGAAAUCCCCCCGCUCAACGGGGGAACGGCCCCGGACACCGCCGGCCUCGAGGGGGGUAGGGGCGAGCGGAACGCUGGGUGGAGCGGUGAAAUGCGUUGAUAUCCAGCGGAACUCCGGUGGCGAAGGCGGCUCGCUGGGCCCUCUCUGACGCUGAGGCGCGAAAGCCAGGGGAGCGAACGGG
rnacentral:rRNA from 1 species